rnacentral:rRNA from 1 species
GAUGAACGCUGGCGGUAUGCUUAACACAUGCAAGUCGAACGGACUCUUCGGAGUUAGUGGCGGACGGGUGAGUAACGCGUGAGAAUCUGGCUUUGGGUUCGGGACAACCACUGGAAACGGUGGCUAAUACCGGAUGUGCCGAGAGGUAAAAGAGAAAUUGCCUGAAGAUGAGCUCGCGUCUGAUUAGCUAGUUGGUGAGGUAAAGGCUCACCAAGGCAGCGAUCAGUAGUUGGUCUGAGAGGAUGACCAGCCACACUGGGACUGAGACACGGCCCAGACUCCUACGGGAGGCAGCAGUGGGGAAUUUUCCGCAAUGGGCGAAAGCCUGACGGAGCAAUACCGCGUGAGGGAAGAAGGCUCUUGGGUUGUAAACCUCUUUUCUUAGGGAAGAACAAAAUGACGGUACCUAAGGAAUCAGCAUCGGCUAACUCCGUG